rnacentral:rRNA from 1 species
UGGGGAAUAUUGCACAAUGGGCGAAAGCCUGAUGCAGCAACGCCGCGUGAGUGAUGAAGGCCUUCGGGUUGUAAAGCUCUGUCUUUUGGGACGAUAAUGACGGUACCAAAGGAGGAAGCCACGGCUAACUACGUGCCAGCAGCCGCGGUAAUACGUAGGUGGCAAGCGUUGUCCGGAUUUACUGGGCGUAAAGGAUGCGUAGGCGGAUUUUUAAGUGAGAUGUGAAAACCCUAAGCUUAACUUGGGGACUGCAUUUCAUACUGGAAAUCUAGAGUGCGGGAGAGGAGAAUGGAAUUCCUAGUGUAGCGGUGAAAAUGCGUAGAGAUUAGGAAGAACACCAGUGGCGAAGGCGAUUCUCUGGACCGUAACUGACGCUGAGGCAUGAAAAGCGUGGGUAGCAAACAGGAUUAGAUACCCUGGUAGUCCACGCCGUAAACGAUGAGUACUAGGUGUAGGAGGUAUCGACCCCUUCUGUGCCGCAGUUAACACAAUAAGUACUCCGCCUGGGAAGUACGAUCGCAAGAUUAAAACUCAAAUGAAUUGACGGGGGUC